GUGGCCAUAGCUCAGUAGGGAGAGCGUCAGACUGAAGCCUCAACUUCACUCGUCCUAUCUGAAGGUCACGUGUUCGAGCCACAUUGGCCACA